GCUAAUACCCGAGAUGUUGGGAUAAUCCCCUAUCCCGUUUUCGUUUCAGUUUCAAUUGCCUCUCGCUCCAUAAUGCGGAAUCGCUUGAAAUACACGUCGCCUGUCACACCACGAGAGUUUACAACACCCGAAGUCGGUGGGGUAGCCGCAAGGAGCUAGCCGCCGAAGGUGGGGUAGAUGAUUGGGGUGAAGUCGUAACAAGGUAGCCGUAUCGGAAGGUGCGGCUGGACACUCCUAUCUAGAGCAUCGCGAGUUAC
rnacentral:rRNA from 1 species